CGGGCUGUAGUAUAAUGGUAAUAUACACCCUUGGGGUGGGUGAGUCCGGAGUUCGAUUCUCCGCAGCCCGA
rnacentral:tRNA from 1 species